GGUUGCUGCCGGUUCUAGUUUAGCGUUUACCGUUGAACUGCCCAGAGGCGCGAUGGCGACCAUAUACCCUACCUUCCACUACCUCACUAGUUGGAAAUCCGCAGAAAUUCUAGAGUUAAUACAUGCUUGAAGAUGUGUUUUUUAGAUACAUUGAGUUUAUUACAUAGAAACUAAUUUUGAUGUGAGAAUAUAACUGUGCGGAUCGUUUUGGAAAAAGCGAUGAAUCAAUUGGGUUUCUGCCCUAUCAGUUUUGGAUGGCUGUGUAUUGGACAGCCAUGACAUCAACGGGUAACGGGGAAUGGGGCGGGGGCGGCGGGCCGGGCGCGGGGCGCGGCGGGCGAGGGGAGCCGCCCGUUCACUCGGUAGAAAUUUUUUUCUAGAAGAUCGACCGGACUACUCCAUUUUUUUUUUUUUUUUUUAUAAUCCCCAAGUUCCCCCCCCUUCUUUGAAUUUUUUGGAACUCAAAGCGUUUCCCCCACUUUUAACCGAUAUUUAUUUUAAACGACCACCCCCGCUGGGGGGCCUCACAAUCAAUAUCCUACUUUAUAACUCACUAUAUCCCUUGAAGCCCGCACCCUCUUAAUGGAUCUAGA
rnacentral:rRNA from 1 species